rnacentral:rRNA from 1 species
CUGGCUCAGAUUGAACGCUGGCGGCAGGCCUAAUACAUGCAAGUCGAACGGUAACAUAGGAAAAGCUUGCUUUCCUGAUGACGAGUGGCGGACGGGUGAGUAAAGUUUGGGAAGCUACCUGAUAGAGGGGGACAACAGUUGGAAACGACUGCUAAUACCGCAUACAGCCUGAGGGUGAAAGCAGCAAUGCGCUAUCAGAUGCGCCCAAAUGGGAUUAGCUAGUAGGUGAGGUAAAGGCUCACCUAGGCGACGAUCUCUAGCUGGUCUGAGAGGAUGAUCAGCCACAUUGGGACUGAGACACGGCCCAGACUCCUACGGGAGGCAGCAGUAGGGAAUAUUGCACAAUGGAGGAAACUCUGAUGCAGCCAUGCCGCGUGUGUGAAGAAGGCCUUCGGGUUGUAAAGCACUUUCGGAGGGGAGGAGAAUGACGUUACCCUCAGAAGAAGCACCGGCUAACUCCGUGCCAGCCGCCGC